AUUGAACGCUGGCGGCGUGCUUAACACAUGCAAGUCGAAGGGAGUGGCGAACGGGUGAGUAACACGUGAGUAACCUGCCCUUUUCUUUGGGAUAAGCCUGGGAAACUGGGUCUAAUACUGGAUGGAUUGGGAUGGGCUCGCGGCUUAUCAGCUGGUUGGUGGGGUGAUGGCUUACCAAGGCUUUGACGGGUAGCCGGCCUGAGAGGGGGGUCGGUCACACUGGGACGGAGAGACGGCCCAGGCUCGUACGGGAGGGAGAAGUGGGGGAUAUGGGACAAUGGACGAAAGUCUGAUGCAGCGUGGUCGUGGGGGGGAUGCAGGUCGUAGGGUUGUAAACUCCUUUCGGAAGCGGAAUGGUAGUGGGUAAAGAAGCGCCGGCUAACUACGUGCCAGCAGCCGCGGUAAUAC
rnacentral:rRNA from 1 species